CCAAGCCUUUGUCACCUCCUUGAGCCACCAGGUCUGUUAGUCGAUCAGGACGCCCUGGUGCAGGCUCUUCAGACUGGGGUUAUUAAAGGAGCAGCACUGGACGUGACGCACCCGGAGCCCCUGCCCAGAGAUCAUCCUUUAUUGAAGUUGGAGAACGUCACUCUGACACCUCACGCUGGGAGUGCUACUCAUCAAGCCAGGAGACAGAUGAUAGAAAAUUUGGUUGCAAGCAUCCUGGCUUCUCUCCAUGGUCUUCCCAUUCCUAAUGAAGUGCGACUUAACUGGGAUAAUUCCGUGGCAUGACACGUGGCAGAUUAAAUGAAAAAAAAAAAAAAAAAAUCUUGUUUUGUGUAUCUACGUUAAAGCCCAUCAUGCAGAUGAAUACUCUUUUGGGCGAAAAGCCUUAAGAACAGCGGUAACAUUUGUUGAGAACUUGGCAGGCGCUUCUCUUCCAUUCCCGCCGCAGCCUCCAGGCCGCUCUGAGCGAAGUCCCCCCCCCCCCCCCGUUUUCAUUAUGAAGCACAGAGAAUUCCCUGAGGUCCCGGCAGCCUGCAAAUACUCGGUCUUGGAUGAAAACCCUGGGCCAGGUCUGCGCGUUUCCCAGUGGGCCACGCUGCCUUCCGUCCCGUUAAACUCUCGUAGCUCCUCGGACCCCAGUACCCGUGACACUUGGAGCCCGAACCCCUCGUUUCUUCCCGUUAUUCCACCGGCGGUUUCUGAGCACCCUCUGCGUGCCGCGCGCGCGUGCUGUUCGAAGCUCCGGGGCUUCCGCGGGAACGGCGUCCCGGAAUGGGGGGCUGGCCCGCUGGUGGGGGCGACAGGAGCGCGGGGCACCGAGCCGGGGUCUGCGGGCAGGCCCCGGGAUGGGCGCGCCUCCUUUCUGGAGCGGAGGG